ACCAAGGCGACGACGGGUAGCUGGAUCGAGAGGUUGACCAGCCACACUGGGACUGAGACACGGCCCAGACUCCUACGGGAGGCAGCAGUUAGGAAUAUUGCACAAUGGGCGAAAGCCUGAUGCAGCGACGCCGCAUGGACGACGAAGGCCUUAGGGUUGUAAAGUCCUUUUAAUAGGGAAGAUUAUGACGGUACCUAUUGAAUAAGUCACGGCUAACUACGUGCCAGCAGCCGCGGUAAUACGUAGGUGGCAAGCGUUAUCCGGAAUCAUUGGGCGUAAAGAGUGUGUAGGUGGUUUUUUAAGUCAGUUGUAAAAUCUGUGGGCUCAACUCACAUCAUGCAUCUGAAACUGGAAAACUUGAGUCUGGAAGAGGUAAGCGGAAUUUAUGGUGUAGCGGUGAAAUGCUUAGAUAUCAUAAGGAACACCAAUGGCGAAGGCAGCUUACUGGGACAGUACUGACACUGAGACACGAAAGCGUGGGGAGCGAACGGGAUUAGAUACCCCGGUAGUCCACGCCGUAAACGAUGCCUACUAGCUGUAGGGGGCUUCGACCCCUUCUGUAGCGAAGCUAACGCGUUAAGUAGGCCGCCUGGGGAGUACGAUCGCAAGAUUAAAACUCAAAGGAAUUGACGGGGACCCGCACAAGCGGUGGAACAUGUGGUUUAAUUCGACGCAAAGCGAAGAACCUUACCGAGGCUUGACAUCCUGGGAAUUUUUUGGAAACAAAAAAGUGCCUUCGGGAGCCCAGUGACAGGUGCUGCAUGGCUGUCGUCAGCUCGUGUCGUGAGAUGUUCGGUUAAGUCCGUCAACGAGCGCAACCCUCAUUCUGUGUUGUAUUUUUCACAGAAAACUGCCUUGGUCAACAAGGAGGAAGGUGGGGAUGACGUCAAGUCAGCAUGGCCCUUACGCCUCGGGCUACACACAUGUUACAAUGGCCGGUACAAUGAGCUGCGAACCCGCGAGGGGGAGCCAAUCUCAUCAAAACCGGUCCCAGUUCGGAUUGAAGGCUGCAACUCGCCUUCAUGAAGUCGGAAUCGCUAGUAACCGCAGGUCAGCUACACUGCGGUGAAUACGUUCCCGGGUCUUGUACACACCGCCCGUCACACCACGAAAGUUGGUAACAUCCGAAGUACGCGUAAGCGUCCUAAGGUGGGAUCAGCGAUUGGGGUGAAGUCGUAACAAGGUAUCCGUAGCGGAAGCUGCGGAUGGAUCACCUCCUUUCUAGGGA
rnacentral:rRNA from 1 species